ACACCCAUAUCGCAUUGAAACACCGGUUUCCGUACGAUCACUGAAGUUAAGGAACGUCGGGCCUGGUCAGUACUAAGACGAAUGACCGUUUUGGAAAACCAGGUGCU